AUUGAACGCUGGCGGCAGGCCUAACACAUGCAAGUCGAGCGGAUGACGGGAGCUUGCUCCUUGAUUCAGCGGCGGACGGGUGAGUAAUGCCUAGGAACCUGCCUGAUAGUGGGGGACAACGUUUCGAAAGGAACGCUAAUACCGCAUACGUCCUACGGGAGAAAGCAGGGGACCUUCGGGCCUUGCGCUAUCAGAUGAGCCUAGGUCGGAUUAGCUAGUUGGUGGGGUAAUGGCUCACCAAGGCGACGAUCCGUAACUGGUCUGAGAGGAUGAUCAGUCACACUGGAACUGAGACACGGUCCAGACUCCUACGGGAGGCAGCAGUGGGGAAUAUUGGACAAUGGGCGAAAGCCUGAUCCAGCCAUGCCGCGUGUGUGAAGAAGGUCUUCGGAUUGUAAAGCACUUUAAGUUGGGAGGAAGGGCAGUAAGUUAAUACCUUGCUGUUUUGACGUUACCGACAGAAUAAGCACCGGCUAACUCUGUGCCAGCAGCCGCCGUAAGAC
rnacentral:rRNA from 1 species